rnacentral:rRNA from 1 species
UACGUAGGGUGCGAGCGUUUGUCCGGAUUUAUUGGGUUUAAAGGGUGCGUAGGCGGUUUUGUAAGUCAGUGGUGAAAUACUCUAGCUUAACUAGAGGGGUGCCAAUGAUACUGCGGAACUUGAGUACAGAUGAGGUAGGCGGAAUUGACGGUGUAGCGGUGAAAUGCAUAGAUAUCGUCAAGAACACCGAUAGCGAAGGCAGCUUACUGGGCUGUAACUGACGCUGAUGCACGAAAGUGUGGGGAUCAAACAGG